GUGUGUUGACUUCCUGUCCCCUGAUUACUCUGCUGUGUCUCACCUGUGCCUCGUUAACUCUCCUGGUGUAUUUAAGCUCAGAGGUCCUUGUGGUCCCUGUAGUCAGACCUGUGUUGGUUUUUGUGGAUUCUUCCAGAAGGUCUGAGCCUGAUCACUGCUGCCCUCUAGUGGUGAUAAGGAGAAGCUGGCUCCCUGCUCUGAGGGUUCACAGUGAGGAGUGAUGAGUUGUUGAUAUUGAAGCAUUAAAGAAAGCGUUGCAGCUCACCGAUGCCCGUGUUGGCGCUCACCACCAGCAUGGCGAAGUCGGGGCAGUAGCUGGUCAGGCCGAAGAUGGUGGUCUUCAGGUACUUGUGGUGUCCCGCCAGAUCGAUGAAGGUGAUCAUCUUAGAGGAGCUCUCGCAGAUCUCCUCGGCUGUCCUGGACUCGCUGUAGUUCACCACCUUUCAGAAAACAAGACCAUCAGCUGACGGAUCUGAGGCCGGAUCUUACUCUCUCUCUGUUAUCUGUUUCAAUGCUUUGAUCUCUUUUUAUAGCUGCCAUCUCGCUCUAUCACUCAGAUCUUAUUCAAACACUUUGAUCUCAUUAUUUCACUUUGAUCUCAUUAUUUCACUUUGAUCAAAUUGUAUUGCUUUGAUCUCAUUCUAUCGCUUUGAUCUCAUUCUAUCGCUUUGAUCUCAUUAUUUCACUUUUAUCUCAUUCUAUCGCUUUGAUCUCAAACUAUCGCUUUGACCUCAUUCUAUCGCUUUGAUCUCAUUAUUUCACUUUUAUCUCAUUCUAUCGCUUUGAUCUCAUACUAUCGCUUUGACCUCAUUCUAUCGCUUUGAUCUCAUUAUUUCACUUUGAUCUCAUUCUAUCGCUUUGAUCUCAGUCUUUCGCUUUGAUCUCAUUCUAUCGCUUUGAUCUCAUUUUAUUGCUUUGAUCUCAUUGUAUUGCUUUGAUCUCAUUCUAUUACUUUGAUCUCAUUCUACUGCUUUGAUCUCAUUCCAUCGCAUUGAUCUCAUUAUAUGCCUUGAUCUCGUUAUUUCACUUUGAUCUCAUUAUUUCACUUUGAUCUCAUUCUAUUGCUUUGAUCUCUUUUUAUCAAUUUUAUCUCAUGCUCUGCUGUUUAAUUCUAUUAUUUUAAUCUCAUUCUAUUACUUUGAUCACAUUUUAUUGCUCUGAUCUCAUUCAGUUGCUUUGAUCUCCUUCAGUUGCUUUGAUCUCCUUCAGUUGCUUUGAUCACAUUGUAUUACUUUGAUCACAUUUUAUUGCUCUGAUCUCAUUCAGUUGCUUUGAUCUCCUUCUAUUACUUUGAUCACAUUGUAUUACUUUGAUCACAUUUUAUUGCUCUGAUCUCAUUCAGUUGCUUUGAUCUCAUUCAGUUGCUUUGAUCUCAUUCUAUUGGAUUAAUUGUAAAGUAAUGAGAUACAGAGACCUGAAGUGUUUUUGUAAACAUGUUUGUUUCUGCUGUAAAGUUUGACGUUUGACGUGAGGUUCGAUGGGGACUGACCCCCUUUGGAGCCAGCCUCUAUAGGCCACUAGAGGAACUGCAGGUUUUAUCCUCCGUGGCUUUGUUCCUCAGUAUUGGAGGCGUCCGCCCGUUCUCACCUCUCCUUUGCUGUUGAAGCCGAGGAUCUCGAAGCUGAUGCUGGAGGUUCGUCCGGUUUGGAUCUCGUGCAGAUGUCUGAAGAGGUUGAGUCGCGCUCGGCCUCGGCCGUUAUCCAGCUCUCCCUGCGUCAGGACGCCCAGCAGGGUCGACUUCCCAGAAUCCACAUUCCCAAGAACCGCCACCCUCAGAUCCAAGAACUGAACCAACAGGAAGGAAGAGAAACAGUCUUUAAUAUCGACUAUAAUAAGACUCAGAAGCGUUUCCAGCUCCUCGUUACCCUGAUGUAAACCACUAGAGGGUGCAUCAUGUCUCAGGAGGUCCGGAGGACUCCCCUGUUGUUGUGUGAAAACAUAAGACCGGUCUCUCACCUGCUGAUCAUCGGGAACUUUUCGAACCAGGACUUCUGCGAUUUUUCGAGUGUUUCUGUCCGAGUCGUGGUCCACCUCCCUCUCUCUGAGGAGCGUGAUGUCGGCACCGACUCUGGAGAGAAGAGGAAGAGAGACCGGAUCAGAUGAAGUCCAAGCACAGAGCUGCUUUCAGGUUUUUAGAAACCUACUUCUCUGCCAUCCUCUUUAAGGUCUUGAGCGAGGCCCUCAUGUCGGCCUCGGUCAGACCGACCAGCAGGCCGUUGUCCUCCACUCCGAUCUGAUAGACGGCCUCGCCGCGGCCCUCCUGCA